UAGCUCAGUUGGUAGAGCAGUUGACUUUUAAUCAAUUGGUCGCAGGUUCGAAUCCUGCACGACCCACCAAUCUUCGGUGGAAACGAGAAUCAAACGUGAAGGAUAACGUUGCGUCAGCAACGGCCCGUAGGGCGAGACGAAGCCGAGUCAUCCUGCACGACCCACCA
rnacentral:sRNA from 1 species